ensembl:lncRNA
GGAGAAUCCAUGUCGCCUGGUUCCAUGGUUGGAAGCCAUGAUAGAGAUAUGAUGACCUUGCAUCACAAUGUCCAUUCCACAAAGGUAGUAGUAGCUAGCCUGCAGCGGUGGACCAGUGCCAGGAAUGGCCCUCCAAGAUUGACUAUUUGGGAUUGAAAGGUGGCUGUGAUGUGAAAGAGUGCGUGGAGGAUCAUGGCACACAUAAUCUUCCAUGAUCUUUCAAAGACCAUGAACUGGAGGGGAAUCAAUG